CUUUUCCACCCCUUUAACUUAAGUUUAUGUGAGUCCUUAUGUGUUAGGGGAGUCUCUUGAAGGCAGCAGAUAGUUGGCUGGUGGAUUCUUACCCAUUCUGCAAUUCUGUAUCUUUUAAGUGGAGCAUUUAGGACAUUUACAUUCAAUGUUAGUAUUGCGAGUAGUUCUGGAGCAAAAGUUCAUGAUGUGGGUCUCCACACACUGUUCUGUCUGUCCAAGUGGGAGCUGCAAUCUGGUCCUGCCUGCCGUCUGCCAUGAUGUUCUUGAAAACCAACAAGUGCUUCUUAAAUGCUGACGUAUCAUUUUCCCAUGUCUGAGCCAACUCAGCAUGAACACAAUGAGGAUGAAGGCAUUUAUGAUGACCCCACUUCCUCUUAAUAAACAG
rnacentral:lncRNA from 1 species